rnacentral:lncRNA from 1 species
GAGGUUUAGGGGUUUAGGGGUUAAGAGCUAAGGAUAUAUAGUUUAGGGUUUCAUGGGUCGAGUUAGGGUUUUGGGUUUAGAUUAAUUUUUUAUUUAUAUUUUAAAUAUGUUUUUAAAUUUCAUAUAUAAUUGAAAAGGAUAAGAUAACAAAUAUUUUAAAAUAUUUAAUUAAUUAUCAUUAUAGUUUAGGGUUUAUAUGGCUUAAGGUAUAUGGUUAAUUUAAGAUUGAAAGCCAGUUUAGGAGUUACUAUUUUAA